GGUCUCCUUCUGCCACCCACGCUGGAGUGCAGCGUCGUGAACAUAGGAACACAGCAGCUGCCAAGGUUGGACAUCACUCUUCCUAACACCUGGGAGAUACAUAAGGAGUGCUUUAAAUGAAGCUUCAAAUGUUUCUAGUGGUUCAAGAGGGGCCCUGAAUGUGUGGAUCCUCCAAGCUCCCCUUCUCUCUGCACUUGGCUGUGUUGUCAUUCACAGCCCAGCAACUCACCUUACAGAGAAACAAAGACCAUACUUACUCCCCAGCAGAUACAUGGGUGAUCUUUCGAGAGACCAUCAGAAAGAGGCUGCUUGGGUCCCGUCCGAGGAGAGACAGAAGACUGAGCCGUGGUGUACUCUACUAUCUGACGCAACAGCCUUUUCUGCAGGAUAUUAAAGGACUUUAUAAAUAUUAAUUAUCUCAUUCAUCCUUAUCACUUUGUGAGAGCCGAAGACAUUAUAGAUGGCCAGUCACCCAUUUCACUAGACUAAGUAUCUAAAGCCACCUUCCACACGUAAUCAUUAACAUUUCAAAAUACUUUCACCUCUUUAUUAUUCAGAGAUGUUGAGUUUAUGAAGGACUCGGUCCUUUUUGGUUCUUUCUGCCCCGCAUUAAUAAACACCUUUGAAUUACU